rnacentral:misc_RNA from 1 species
GUAGGAGCCGGGCUUGCCCGCGAAGCUUUUUGGCGUUCUCCAAUACGCAUCCGCGGGCAAGCCCGGCUCCUAC